CUAGACCAUGAGUAAUGCCGUUACGUGGCGGUCUAGAUAAGUAAUGUAAAGAUUGAGAUAAGAGGGUGUAACCUCCUUACCGCCAAUAUUAUAUGAAACUAAAUUGCU
rnacentral:ribozyme from 1 species